CUUGAGAUGAUUGAUUCCAAAAUUAUUCUCUAUAAUUUUACCCUAUAUUAUUUCGGCAACUAGAUAAAGGCUCGUUCUUUAUCUUCCUAUGGUCAUGUCCAUAGAAGGAGAGCCACAUGAGUUUUAUCUUGGAGCCGUGUAGUGCCGAAAAGACUCGCACGAAGGGGAGGCAACACGACUUUAGGAUAACGUCUUCGAAGUGACUCCCAAGGCUUGUCAUUUCUAACUCUCCUCUUAUGUUUGUAUUCUUAUUGAAUUAUAUUACUUAUAUGUUUAUAUUUAAAAUGGUUGUGUUAAAUAAUAUUUUAUCUACACACAAAUCACCAAUUUUCUCAACAAUCUAAAAUCGUGUUGAAAUAUUGUGUGUAGUUAAAUCAUAUGUGUAAUCUUAGUGUACCUUUUGUUACCUUUGAUGCCAAAUUAAUUUCAUGUUGCUUAGAAAUUUUGGAUGUGCAUACGUGCCUAAUACACAUCUAUAGCUAGCGUACCAAGACCUGAAUUCUAUUGGUAGAUACCUACUGCUAGUAUAAUACACAUCUAACACAAGUGUCGUAAGCAACCUGUUUGUAUCUGAAGGAAAGUUGGAUCCCCUAACCAGUUGUCUGUCAAGAAUCUCACCCAUGAGUAUUCACCAAUAAUCCAUUUAGCUCUCCUCAUGAGUAAUAGAUAAUUCUCUCGAAUUGAAGGAGAUAUUGAUGAUGAACAACUCUUGAGCAUCAGAAAUAUCCCCUAGGCAUCCUGUUCACCAAGACUCAUAUUCUAGCAAAUUUAAAUACUUGUUCUAGCACAAAAAUUGCAUUAAAUCUGUAGCACUGUAAUACCCGUAGGAAAAAAUUCCAACCGAUGUAUCAAAAGCUUUACGAAUAUCAUUUUUUAGAACCUUGAAAUCAAAUUAUUUUUUUUUUUCAAACCACUAACACACUCUUAAGCCACUGCAACGCACUCUUCAAUUUAUCGCCCCUUAGCAAACUGGUACUGAUUAUCUGACACAGUUUUGGAGCCAAUGGGACUUAAUCGGUUAGUUAGAGUGUUGGUGUUAAUCUUGAACAAGAAGUUGCCAAUGACUAUUGGCCUAGCCUCCUGAACUUUGGGUAUCAAAGUCAUAAAACUAAAGUUUAAGCCUGGCGGAACAAACCUAAUCGUGAAGAAAUACAGUAUUGCAUAUUAGAUUCAGAAAAAUUAGUCACGGACGUAAACAAACCAUCGAGCAUGAGUCUUAAGAUCCCGAUACUAAAUGCAUAAAUGAAUUAGUAUCUCGCAAUAUUGAUUGUUGGAUGCAAUAGAUUAGGUUUUAGUGGUAAGACCAUGUUGUUUCAUGCAAGUUUAUGCAAGUGCAUUGAAUAGGCAAGUGUCUAUAUUAUUAUUUCACACGUAACAAGUUAAAUGCUGAAAUCUUAGAGUAUUUUAAAAUAAAAAUUGGUGUUUUGUCAUGCACAUGAAUCUAUGGAAUAUUUUGAUUUCAUGGAAAUUCUAUGAUUUGAUUAUAAACAAAUGGCUAAAAGAUUUAAACUUCAAUAAUGUGCUUAAUUAAUAUUUUAAAAGAGGUGUAUUAUCAUGACUAAUCUGCAUAAUUUUGUUUACAUCCCAAGUGUAACAUAAAAAUGAAGUUUUAAUAUUUCAAAAUUAAAACCUUCCUAAAUUUUCAGUUUUGACUUUAAUUUUCGUCUUAAAUAUAAAGUUGAAAAUCUUAAUUAUGGAGUGUAACUUAUCCUUUAAAUGGAUUAAUUGUGAGUGGUAUCAUUCCAGCCACCACUUUUAGAGGUUAGGUAUGAAAAUUGAAUGCCUGAGAAUUAAAAGAUAUUAAUAUUAUUGUAAGUUAUAU
rnacentral:lncRNA from 1 species